rnacentral:rRNA from 1 species
GACGAACGCUGGCGGCGUGCUUAACACAUGCCAGUCGAACGGAAAGGCCCUGCUUUUGUGGGGUGCUCGAGUGGCGAACGGGUGAGUAACACGUGAGUAACCUGCCCUGGACUUUGGGAUAACUUCAGGAAACUGGGGCUAAUACCGGAUAGGAGCUCCUGCUGCAUGGUGGGGGUGGGAAAGUUUCGGCGGUUGGGGAUGGUCUCGCGGCUUAUCAGUUUGUUGGUGGGGUAGUGGCUUACCAAGGCUUUGACGGGUAGCCGGCCUGAGAGGGUGACCGGCCACAUUGGGACUGAGAUACGGCCCAGACUCCUACGGGAGGCAGCAGUGGGGAAUAUUGCACAAUGGGCGGAAGCCUGAUGCAGCAACGCCGCGUGCGGGAUGACGGCCUUCGGGUUGUAAACCGCUUUCGCCUGUGACGAAGCGUGAGUGACGGUAAUGGGUAAAGAAGCACCGGCUAACUACGUG